GAUGAAUGCUGGCGGCGUGCCUAAUACAUGCAAGUCGAACGGACGAUCGCAAGGUCGUUAGUGGCGAACGGGUGAGUAACGCGUUGGUGACCUGCCCUAUAGUGGGGGAUACCAGACCGAAAGGUCUGCUAAUACCGCAUGAGCUCUCGGGAGAUCAGAAGCCGGAGAGGAAAGCCGUACGUUUCGUAAGAAACGAUGGCGCUAAAGGAGGGGCCUGCGUCCCAUCAGCUAGUUGGUAAGGUAACGGCUUACCAAGGCGAUGACGGGUAGGGGACCUGAGAGGGUGACCCCCCACAAUGGAACUGAAACACGGUCCAUACACCUACGGGAGGCUG
rnacentral:rRNA from 1 species